rnacentral:tRNA from 1 species
AUAAAGUUAAGUUAGUUUAGACUGGAUGUUUUCAAAACAUUUAGCGGUGUUUGCCACUUUAUG